GCGGGAAUAGCUCAGUUGGUAGAGCGCAACCUUGCCAAGGUUGAGGUCGCGAGUUCGAGUCUCGUUUCCCGC
rnacentral:tRNA from 1 species